AAAAAUGUAAUGAUUGGGAAAAGUAAGUGUAAAUCUGCCUUCCAGAGAAGUAACGCCACCGGCUGAGAGCGGUACUAGGAAAGAGACGCCCAAAAUGCACCCAUGAACAAGUUGGCUGAAUGUAUAGUAGGUCAAUUCGGUAGCAACCGUUAUUGUGCGCCUAAGAGGCAUUGGUUGAUGCCUAAGCAGAGUGGAACCACGGACCACUGUCUCUGUA
rnacentral:ncRNA from 1 species